rnacentral:rRNA from 1 species
AGGGUUUGAUCCUGGCUCAGAAUGAACGUUGGCGGCGUGGAUUAGGCAUGCAAGUCGCGCGACAAGCUUCCCUUCGGGGAAGUGGAGGAGCGGCGCAAGGGAGAGUAACACGUGAAUUACCUGCCCCCGGGUUCGGGAUAGUUGCGGGAAACUGCAAGUAAUACCGGAUAACAUCUUCGGAUCAAAGGUGAGAUUCCGCCUGGGGAUGGAUUCGCGUCCUAUUAGCUUGUUGGUAGGGUAACGGCCUACCAAGGCAUUGAUGGGUAGCGGGUGUGAGAGCAUGACCCGCCUCACUGGGACUAAGACACUGCCCAGACACCUACGGGUGGCUGCAGUCGAGAAUCUUCCGCAAUGGGCGAAAGCCUGACGGAGCAACGCCGCGUGUGGGAUGAAGGCCUUCGGGUUGUAAACCGCUGUCGGAGGGGAUGAAAUGCCAGAGGGCACUCUCUCUGGUUUGACAUAUCCUCGGAGGAAGGACGGGCUAAGUUCGUGCCAGCAGCCGCGGUAAGACGAACCGUCCAAACGUUAUUCGGAAUCAUUGGGCUUAAAGGGUGCGUAGGCGGCGCGGCAAGUCGGAUGUGAAAUCCCUCGGCUUAACCGAGGAACUGCGUUCGAAACUGCCGUGCUUGAGGGAGACAGAGGUGAGCGGAACUCAGGGUGGAGCGGUGAAAUGCGUUGAUAUCCUGAGGAACACCGGUGGCGAAGGCGGCUCACUGGGUCUCUUCUGACGCUGAGGCACGAAAGCUAGGGGAGCGAACGGGAUUAGAUACCCCGGUAGUCCUAGCUGUAAACGAUGAGAACUUGGUUGGAGGGUCCUCCAUAGCCUUCCGGCCGUAGCGAAAGUGUUAAGUUCUCCGCCUGGGGAGUAUGUCCGCAAGGAUGAAACUCAAAGGAAUUGACGGGGGCUCACACAAGCGGUGGAGGAUGUGGCUUAAUUCGAGCCUACGCGUAGAACCUUAUCCUGGUCUUGACAUGCAUGGAUUAACUCUGUGAAAGCAGAGCGACGCCUUCGGGUGGAACAUGCACAGGUGCUGCAUGGCUGUCGUCAGCUCGUGUCGUGAGAUGUCGGGUUAAGUCCCUUAACGAGCGAAACCCUUAUUCCUAGUUGCCAGCGAGUAAUGUCGGGGACUCUAGGGAGACUGCCGGUGUUAAACCGGAGGAAGGUGGGGAUGACGUCAAGUCCUCAUGGCCUUUAUGACCAGGGCCGCACACGUCCUACAAUGGCACGCACAGAGGGACGCGAACUCGCGAGAGUAAGCAAAUCCCAAAAAAUGUGCCCCAGUUCGGAUUGCAGGCUGCAACUCGCCUGCAUGAAGCCGGAAUCACUAGUAAUCGCGGAUCAGCAUGCCGCGGUGAAUGUGUUCCUGAGCCUUGUACACACCGCCCGUCAAGCCACGAAAGUGGGGGGCAUCCGAAGUCGCCGAGCUAACCCGCAAGGGAGGCAGGUGCCGAAGGUGAACUCCGCGAUUGGGACUAAGUCGUAACAAGGUA